GGUUAAGCGACUAAGCGUACACGGUGGAUGCCCUGGCAGUCAGAGGCGAUGAAGGGCGUGCUAAUCUGCGAUAAGCGCCGGUAAGGUGAUAUGAACCGUUAUAACCGGCGAUACCCGAAUGGGGAAACCCAGUGUGAUUCGUCACACUAUCAUUAACUGAAUCCAUAGGUUAAUGAGGCGAACCGGGGGAACUGAAACAUCUAAGUACCCCGAGGAAAAGAAAUCAACCGAGAUUCCCCCAGUAGCGGCGAGCGAACGGGGAGGAGCCCAGAGCCUGAAUCAGCAUGUGUGUUAGUGGAAGCGUCUGGAAAGGCGCGCGAUACAGGGUGACAGCCCCGUACACAAAAGCGCAUGUGCUGUGAGCUCGAUGAGUAGGGCGGGACACGUGGUAUCCUGUCUGAAUAUGGGGGGACCAUCCUCCAAGGCUAAAUACUCCUGACUGACCGAUAGUGAACCAGUACCGUGAGGGAAAGGCGAAAAGAACCCCGGCGAGGGGAGUGAAAAAGAACCUGAAACCGUGUACGUACAAGCAGUGGGAGCCCCACCACCAAAGCAUUCUCUGGUGUUGAAGGCCCUGCAAAGCAGCAUCGCGGUGGCGGAGCGUCGUUUGCGACGCCCAACACACAAAACAAGCGGUGAGUGCUUUGGGGUGGGGUGACUGCGUACCUUUUGUAUAAUGGGUCAGCGACUUAUAUUCUGUAGCAAGGUUAACCGAAUAGGGGAGCCGGAGGGAAACCGAGUCUUAAUUGGGCGUUAAGUUGCAGGGUAUAGACCCGAAACCCGGUGAUCUAGCCAUGGGCAGGUUGAAGGUUGGGUAACACUAACUGGAGGACCGAACCGACUAAUGUUGAAAAAUUAGCGGAUGACCUGUGGCUGGGGGUGAAAGGCCAAUCAAACCGGGAGAUAGCUGGUUCUCCCCGAAAGCUAUUUAGGUAGCGCCUCGUGAAUUCAUCUCCGGGGGUAGAGCACUGUUUCGGCUAGGGGGCCAUCCCGGCUUACCAACCCGAUGCAAACUGCGAAUACCGGAGAAUGUUAUCACGGGAGACACACGGCGGGUGCUAACGUCCGUCGUGAAGAGGGAAACAACCCAGACCGCCAGCUAAGGUCCCAAAGUCAUGGUUAAGUGGGAAACGAUGUGGGAAGGCCCAGACAGCCAGGAUGUUGGCUUAGAAGCAGCCAUCAUUUAAAGAAAGCGUAAUAGCUCACUGGUCGAGUCGGCCUGCGCGGAAGAUGUAACGGGGCUAAACCAUGCACCGAAGCUGCGGCAGCGACACUCAGGUGUUGUUGGGUAGGGGAGCGUUCUGUAAGCCUGCGAAGGUGGCCUGUGAGGGUUGCUGGAGGUAUCAGAAGUGCGAAUGCUGACAUAAGUAACGAUAAAGCGGGUGAAAAGCCCGCUCGCCGGAAGACCAAGGGUUCCUGUCCAACGUUAAUCGGGGCAGGGUGAGUCGACCCCUAAGGCGAGGCCGAAAGGCGUAGUCGAUGGGAAACGGGUUAAUAUUCCCGUACUUGGUGUUACUGCGAAGGGGGGGGACGGAGAAGGCUAUGUUGGCCGGGCGACGGUUGUCCCGGUUUAAGCGUGUAGGUGUGUGUUCCAGGUAAAUCCGGUUCACUUUAACACUGAGGCGUGAUGACGAGGCACUACGGUGCUGAAGCAACAAAUGCCCUGCUUCCAGGAAAAGCCUCUAAGCAUCAGGUAACAUCAAAUCGUACCCCAAACCGACACAGGUGGUCAGGUAGAGAAUACCAAGGCGCUUGAGAGAACUCGGGUGAAGGAACUAGGCAAAAUGGUGCCGUAACUUCGGGAGAAGGCACGCUGACACGUAGGUGAAGUGAUUUACUCAUGGAGCUGAAGUCAGUCGAAGAUACCAGCUGGCUGCAACUGUUUAUUAAAAACACAGCACUGUGCAAACACGAAAGUGGACGUAUACGGUGUGACGCCUGCCCGGUGCCGGAAGGUUAAUUGAUGGGGUCAGCGCAAGCGAAGCUCCUGAUCGAAGCCCCGGUAAACGGCGGCCGUAACUAUAACGGUCCUAAGGUAGCGAAAUUCCUUGUCGGGUAAGUUCCGACCUGCACGAAUGGCGUAAUGAUGGCCAGGCUGUCUCCACCCGAGACUCAGUGAAAUUGAACUCGCUGUGAAGAUGCAGUGUACCCGCGGCAAGACGGAAAGACCCCGUGAACCUUUACUAUAGCUUGACACUGAACAUUGAGCCUUGAUGUGUAGGAUAGGUGGGAGGCUUUGAAGUGUGGACGCCAGUCUGCAUGGAGCCGACCUUGAAAUACCACCCUUUAAUGUUUGAUGUUCUAACGUGGACCCGUAAUCCGGGUUGCGGACAGUGUCUGGUGGGUAGUUUGACUGGGGCGGUCUCCUCCUAAAGAGUAACGGAGGAGCACGAAGGUUGGCUAAUCCUGGUCGGACAUCAGGAGGUUAGUGCAAUGGCAUAAGCCAGCUUGACUGCGAGCGUGACGGCGCGAGCAGGUGCGAAAGCAGGUCAUAGUGAUCCGGUGGUUCUGAAUGGAAGGGCCAUCGCUCAACGGAUAAAAAGGUACUCCGGGGAUAACAGGCUGAUACCGCCCAAGAGUUCAUAUCGACGGCGGUGUUUGGCACCUCGAUGUCGGCUCAUCACAUCCUGGGGCUGAAGUAGGUCCCAAGGGUAUGGCUGUUCGCCAUUUAAAGUGGUACGCGAGCUGGGUUUAGAACGUCGUGAGACAGUUCGGUCCCUAUCUGCCGUGGGCGCUGGAGAACUGAGGGGGGCUGCUCCUAGUACGAGAGGACCGGAGUGGACGCAUCACUGGUGUUCGGGUUGUCAUGCCAAUGGCACUGCCCGGUAGCUAAAUGCGGAAGAGAUAAGUGCUGAAAGCAUCUAAGCACGAAACUUGCCCCGAGAUGAGUUCUCCCUGAGACUUUAAGUCUCCUGAAGGAACGUUGAAGACGACGACGUUGAUAGGCCGGGUGUGUAAGCGCAGCGAUGCGUUGAGCUAACCGGUACUAAUGAACCGUGAGGCUUAACCUU
rnacentral:rRNA from 1 species